UACGGGGGGAGCAAGCGUUGUUCGGAUUUACUGGGCGUAAAGGGCGCGUAGGCGGGAUGGCAAGUCAGUCGUGAAAUCUCUCGGCUCAACCGAGAAACGUCGGCUGAUACUGCCGUUCUUGAGGGAUGCAGAGGAGACUGGAAUUCCCGGUGUAGCGGUGAAACGUGUAGAGAUCGGGAGGAACACCGGUGGCGAAGGCGGGUCUCUGGGCAUCUCCUGACGCUGAGGCGCGAAAGCGUGGGGAGCAAACGGG
rnacentral:rRNA from 1 species